rnacentral:lncRNA from 1 species
UGCCGCCGCCGCCGCAGCAACGCCGCCUUUUGCACCUCACCGGAAGAUGGACCGGAGCUUGAAGUAACGUCGACGGUGUCAGUGUUGUGAGGCCUCCUCCAACGGGAGCACGUCAGCUAGCUCAGAGCUAGCUGACGUUGGAUUCCUGCUGUCGUGGAUGUGAGAGAGAGUCUGAAAAACUCCACGCUAGCGUGGGAAGAAGAGAUAAGCUCAUUCGCCCGUCCCAAGGCACAGCUGGGCCUACCGCUCCUUCUCGCUCCCUUCCCCCUCUGCUCUCUCCCUCUCUCUCCCUUCGCCAAUCGCCAGACUGACAAAGGACGAGUGGACGACGGCAGCGCGAGGCGCGCACGAC